GGAUUUUUAAACAUUUUUUAUUGAAUGUAUAUUAAAUUAAAGGAUUAAAUUAAAUAUAUAUAUACACACACACACAAAUUAUUACAUUGAAUGAACAUUUUAUAUUGAAUUGAAUGUGUAUAAAACAGGCCUAGAACCGGUCUGUGUUAGCGUUGGCAGUAGCGGGCGCCCGAUGUUUUAGUCCCGCUAUGCAAAUCAAGAUUUUCGUGUUCAUUGACUGUGAAAAGAAUCAAUUUCUAAAAAAAUGAAUAAUGAUAAUAAUUUUGAAUUUGCAUAGCGGGACUAAAUUGUCGGGCUGGCUACGCCACUGCGUUGGUACUGAUAAUAACACCAGAAAGCAGCGUAUUGAAAUGAAUUCAACCAAGGCGUAGAAAAACACGGGCGAGGAAACGCGCGGUAAUCGCGCUGAUCUAUGUGUGAUGCGGCUGGAGACUGGCGAAAGCGCGCGUUUUGCGAGAAAUACAAAAAGAACGGCACAAAAAUGGCAACAAAAAGAUUUGCCGAAGACUACGAAAUAACAAACGAAAAUAUAGGUAAGUUUUAAAUUAUUACAUAAUUAUUUAACGUAAUUUGAAAGAAACACUACUAUACUUCAGCUUUACUUAAUUAAAAUAAACAAAAAGCGCAUUGCGUUGUAAAAUGUCAAUGUUUUAAGAAAUGUUUUGAUUUUUGUUCCCUUCAAAAUUUGUUAUUUUUGCGCACAAAGUCAGGUUAAAAUACGAGUUUUUUAACGCUCUAGGUAGUCCUAGGUGAAUUUGAUAGCACAAAAAGUUUCCCAAAUUAACAUACUUGAGAAUAAUUAAAAUUAAGAGUCGGACUUUUUUUGCUAUAACUUUUUCCCUGAACAUAGUGCUGUUCAUCAUUUGUAUCGCAAGGAGAAGCAACGCAAGUUAACACGAUAUUUGAUUUUAGAUACAAAUAACAUUCCCCAAGCCGUCAAAGACAUAAUUAGUUCAAAAACAAUUAGUUUCAAAAACAAUAUAUAGAUCAUGUCAGCUCGAUAAAGUACAGCGUAUACGGCCAUUUUAGAGGCCAUGUUUACGUUUUGAAAAAGAACCGCGGAAAAAUUGUAUUUUUGCAUGUAGUUUUUUUCCUAGGUGUGAAACAUCCCCUAAAAAAUCGUACAAACUGAAAUCAAGUCAUAAUAUAUCAGAAAUUUUUUAAAAGAAGACAGACUUUUUC